AUAGUGUAUUGACUUGAAGGUUUAUCCCACAUAUUAUGAGAACAGGUUUUUUAGCGAAUAGGGUGCAAAUCCCUAACUGUGCCGCAACCGUAAUAAAAAGAAGCCGGGCCGCCUAAAAAAUUAUAACCUC
rnacentral:ncRNA from 2 species